rnacentral:rRNA from 1 species
AUACGUAGGGGGCAAGCGUUAUCCGGAUUUACUGGGUGUAAAGGGAGCGUAGACGGUUUGGCAAGUCUGAUGUGAAAGCCCGGGGCUCAACCGCGGGACUGCAUUGGAAACUGUCAGACUUGAGUGCAGGAGAGGUAAGUGGAAUUCUUAGUGUAGCGGUGAAAUGGGUAGAUAUUAGGAGAAACACCAGUGGCGAAGGCGGCUUAUAGGACAGUAACUGACGUAGAGGCGCGAAAGCGUGAGGAGCAAACAGGAUUAGAUACCCUGGUAGUCCACGCCGUGAACGAGGAAUACUAGGUGUUGGGAGACAAUAGUUUCUCGGUGCCGCAGCAAACGCAAUAAGUAUUCCACCUGGGGAGUACGUUCGCAAGAAUGAAACUCAAAUGAAUUGACGGGG